AUCCCACCUGGGGAGUACGCCGGCAACGGUGAAACUCAAAGGAAUUGACGGGGCCCGCACAAGCGGAGGAACAUGUGGUUUAAUUCGAUGAUACGCGAGGAACCUUACCCGGGCUUGAACUGCAGCUGAACGAUUCAGAGAUGAUGAGGCCCUUCGGGGCAGCUGUGGAGGUGCUGCAUGGUUGUCGUCAGCUCGUGCCGUGAGGUGUCGGCUUAAGUGCCAUAACGAGCGCAACCCUUGCGGUCAGUUGCCAUCAGGUUAUGCUGGGCACUCUGGCCGGACUGCCACCGUAAGGUGUGAGGAAGGUGGGGAUGACGUCAAAUCAGCACGGCCCUUACGUCCGGGGCUACACACGUGUUACAAUGGGGCAUACAGAGAGCCGGUCGUUCGCAAGUGCGAUCCAAUCCUUAAAGUGCCUCGUAGUUCGGAUUGGGGUCUGCAACCCGACCCCAUGAAGCUGGAUUCGCUAGUAAUCGCGCAUCAGCCAUGGCGCGGUGAAUACGUUCCCGGGCCUUGUACACACCGCCCGUCAAGCCAUGAAAGCCGGGGGCGCCUGAAGUCCGUGACCGCAAGGAUCGGCCUAGGGCGAAACCGGUGAUUGGGGCU
rnacentral:rRNA from 1 species